AAUAAAAUAAUUAUGUUUUUAUUAAUUUAUUAUAAAUUUGUUUUACAUAUAAAUUUUAGUAUAUAAUUUUAAUUAUUUUAAUAAUAAUUAAUUAUUUUAGUAGUAAUUAAUAUUAAAAAUUUAAGAAAUUAAGAUUUAGCAAUAUAAAAAUUAAUAACUAAUUUUGUGCCAGCAGUUGCGGUUAAACAAAGGUUAAAUUAAAUUAUUUCAGUUUAUAAUAAAUAAAUGUGUUAAUUAAAAUAAAUAUUAAAUUAUUAGGUGAAAUUUUAAUUUAAUUAAAUUUUAUUUAAAAAUUAUGAUUUAAUAAAUUUUAAUAUAAACUAGGAUUAGAUACCCUAUUAUUAAAAAUUUAAUUUAUAAUACUAAAAUAGUAAAUAAUAAUUUAUUGAAACUUAAAUAAUAUGGCGGUAUUUUAGUUCAUUUAGAGGAAUCUGUCUAAUAAUUGAUAAUCCACGAAUAAAUUUACUUAAUUUAUAAUUUUGUAUAUCAUUGUUAAAAAAAUAUUUUUUAGUAAAAAUAAUAUUUAAAAAUUAAUAAUAGAAAUUAAUUCAGAUCAAGAUGCAGAAUAUAAUUAAGAAUAUGAUGGAUUACAAUAAAUAUAUUUAAAUGAAUAAUUUUAUUGUAAUAAAAAUUUGAAGGUGGAUUUAAAUGUAAUUUUAAUUAGUUUAUUAAAAUGAUUAUAAAUUAAAAUAUGUACAUAUUGCCCGUCACUUUCAUUUAAAAGUUGAAAUAAGUCGUAACAAAGUAGAGGUACUGGAAAGUGUUUCUAGAAAGAA
rnacentral:ncRNA from 1 species